UUUUAUGGAGAGUUUGAUCCUGGCUCAGGAUGAACGCUGGCGGCGUGCCUAAUACAUGCAAGUCGAGCGAACAGACGAGGAGCUUGCUCCUCUGACGUUAGCGGCGGACGGGUGAGUAACACGUGGAUAACCUACCUAUAAGACUGGGAUAACUUCGGGAAACCGGAGCUAAUACCGGAUAAUAUAUUGAACCGCAUGGUUCAAUAGUGAAAGACGGUUUUGCUGUCACUUAUAGAUGGAUCCGCGCCGCAUUAGCUAGUUGGUAAGGUAAC
rnacentral:rRNA from 1 species